CUGUCAGAGCCCCCAAACAGACUGUCUUGUGAAUCUGGACAAGAUGGCCCUUCUGAGCAAGUCUGGACUCCAGACUGAGAUGAGAUGAGUCAUGGGAAGGUUGGUGGAAAGGUGGAGGUGAGGAAGGUGACCAGUGAUCAACAGGCUUAAGCCAUCCAGGCAUACCAUGUGAGUGUGCCCAGCACCUUGGGGAAUGAAAUGGCUUCUAGUAGAGGGACUCCCUUGGAUGGGAAGCCACCAUGCCUGGUAAGAGGGACACACCACACUAAGGCUGCAGCAUGCCAGCUCCUCCUGGUUCCAGCCAUGCCUCAGGGAUGGAUGAUUUUGAGCAGCCUGCCCUUUUUUAGAGCCUUUGGAAGCAAGUUGUGAUGGGGAGGAAGUGGGUAGAGGAGCUCAAAGCACAUGGAUGGGGAGGUAUCAGGAUCUGAUCAGUCAGAGAGCAGAGGACCCUUGUCCCUCAGAGAAUGAAGACAUGAACCAUCAGGGGGCCUUAUACUACAGCCCAGCAUCUAGUCUCCAACUAGCAGAGCUUCCCCCUUGGCUUUGAGGCAUCAUGGCCUUAAAGGAGAGAGAACUGGUGCUGAGCUCAAGUUCAAUCUUAAAGGCACACACACCCAUAAAGAUAUAGUCAGACAGAGGCAGCUACAGAGACACGAGACUACAGACCCACUGUACUCUUCCCUGUGCAACAGGAAACAGCAUGUGGCAGCAGCCUUUUCAGAUACCCAGGACAAACAUGCUGAGAAAGAACUCAAGGAAACAAUUAAAUUCACCAUCACAACAAAUCAAAACCAAAACCAACCAAACAAACAAAACCCACUUGGGAUAAAAAGUGUACCUGAGGAAGUAAAAGACCCAAGAGAAAAACUCAAGAGAAAAACUGAAGUCACUAGAUGGUGGAAAGACAUCCCACACCAUGGAUUAGAAGAAUAGAUGUUGUGAAAUGACUGCCUUGCCAAAAGCAAUCUACAGAUCCAAUCCACUAUAAAUCAGAUCCCAACAGAACUAGAAAAGAAAGAAUCCUAAAGAUCAUAUGGAGAAUAGCAUGACCUGCAGCAGGAGGCAAGGACAUGAACGCCCCUCCCCUGCCUUCUGGUAUCUGCCAGAGGUGUCUAUGGGUCUGUGGCUAACAUCUCUCUGUGCCUGGGGGCUACACACCCUUGAGAUGACCAGCCAGAAGAUGGUUGUCCAUUACCCUGAUGGUAGGCUGUGUGCUAACAUCAGAUGCAGAACAACCCUGACUCAUCCUUAAUAAUACUGUUCCAAUCAUUAGCAAGAAUUGCCUUGAUGCUAAUUCCUAAGACUUAUGCAGUUGGUGUUCUCUGAUAACCACUUGGCCAGGCCAAAACCCCUCCAAAAAAAAAAAUACACAGAAGCACCAAAGACUCCAUAUAAAGCAACCUGAGCAAAGAAUGUUUGAGGUUCUACCAUUUCUGCUUUCUAUCUGUACUACAAAACCAUAGUAGCAAAAGCAGUAUGGUGCCAGCACAGGCAUGGAGAGCAGAAGAAGAAUAAAGGAGUCAGAUGUAAACCGAUGUAGCUAUAGUAACCUGAGUUUUGACAAAGAUGCAGAAAAUGUGUCUUGGGAAGAUGGCUUCUUUAGAAAGCAUGCUGAGGAAACAGGACAUCAUGUGUAGAAGAAUGGAACUAGAUCCCAAAAGCUUGCCCUGCGCCAAAAUAAAUCCACCUGGAUCACAGACCUGAACCUCUGACACCAUUAGAAGAAAAAGUAGAGAAAACCCUUGAAAACAGAGGCACGAGUGAGGACUUCCAUCACCAGGACGCCUGCCACUCAGGAAAUUAGACCAACAGCUGACAAAUGGGGUCAUAUGAAAUUCAAAAGCUUGUCUACAGCAAAGGAAACAAGUAAGUGAAGAGAUGGUCCGCAGAACGGGAUGCAUUUUCUGUUAGUUACACAUCUGACAAAGUAUCCAAACUAAGCAAAUGCUAAAGAAAUCAACUCAAUAAAUGGUCUACUGGAAGAAACAGCUCCUAAAUAAAGCAUGAGACCCAAAUGGUCAGUAACCGUGAAAGCUGCCCACCUCUAUAGCAGCCAUCAGUGAAAUGCAAACCAAAGCCACGCUGAGAUUCCAUCUUACUCCCUCAGAAUGGCUGUCAUUAAGAAAGUAAUAACGUUCAGGACUGGUGCUGCACACCUCUAAUCCGUAUACUCAGAAGGCAGAGGCAGAUGGAUCUCUGAGUUUGAGGCCAGCCUGAUUUACAUAGUGAGUUCCAAAACAGCCAGGACCAUGUAGAGAGACCUUGUCUCAAAAAUAAAAUAAAAUAAAAGAAUAACAAAUAUUGGUGAGGAUGUGGCCAAAGGAGAAGAUAUUGCACUGUGAUGGCACCGUAAAGUAGAUCAACAACCAUGGAAGUUAGUACGUAUGUUUCUCAAAUGACUCAAAACUGAUUUGCCAUGCAUGAUGGCCACUCUUGGUUAUCAACUUGACAUCUGUGAUUAACUAAAACCCAAAUGGCUAGGCACAUCUAUGAGGGCUUUUUUUUCCUUAAUUAAAUCAUUUGAGGUAUAGGUGAAUCACAGAAGACUUUUGAAAUUUUGGAGCAAGUCUACCAUCAUCUGCAGACAAGUAUUCUCCCUUUGAGAGACAGCUCUUGACCUGUUAUGGGGCCUUAAUGAAAACUGAAUGUUUGACGAUGGAGCACCAAGUUAUCACGUGACCUGAGCUGCCCAUCAUGAGCAUUAUCAGACCUAUGCUUUAUCAGACCUACCAAGUCAUAAAGUAGGAUGUGCACAGCAGAAAUACAUUAUCAAAUAGAGGUAGUAUUCUGUGACAGGCACAAGCAAGUUACAUGAAGAACUUGCCUAAAUGCCUGUGGUUUCCUCUCCUGUUACAAUGCUUUCUGCUGCCGAGCAUGCACCUACAGCCUUGUGGGGUGUUCCCUAUAAUGGGUUGACUGAGGAAGAGCAGACUACGUAGGGCCUGCUUUACUGAUGCUUCUGCACAUGAUGCAAGUACCAUGCAGAAGUAGACAGCUGCAGCAUUACAACCCUGAAAUCAGGGUGAAGGGAAAUCUUCACAGUGGGCAGAACUUCGAGCAGUACACAUAGUCAUACAUUUUGUUUGGAAGGAGAAACGGCCAGAUGUGUGAUUGCUCAUUGAUUCAUGAGCUGUAGCCAAAGGAUUGGAUGAAUGGUCAGAGACUUGGGAAGGAUAGGACUGGAAAAUUGGUGAGACAUCUGCGAAAGAAGUAUGUGGAUAGAUCUCUCCAAAUGGGCAAAAGAUGUGAAGGUACUUGUGUCUCUUGUAAAUGCCCAUCAAAAGGUGACUUCAACUGAGGAGGAAUUCAGUAAUCAGCUUAUACUGAGAAUCAGCGGAGACAUCCAGCUUUGUGGACUGAACGACCUCUGGAUUCUUGGACUUUCUGUUCAUGGCCUACCAUUGUUGGACUAGCUGGAUCACAACAUAAGCCAAGAGAGACUGGGCUCCAACAUCUACCAUAUCUCUUCCUAAACAGUGAAAGCAGAGAAUGCUAGCCUGAAUCUUUUUGUUUCUCUUUCUUGCCAAUUCCUUUCCUAGAACAUCCAAUUCACUGUUGAGUAGAAGCAUCUAUGGAAGGUAUUAACUCAUCUUCCUAUUCAUCUGUGGGCUUUCGUGGAUGUCCUCUACUGGCAGGAGGCAUUCUCUCCCAAGGUCAAGCUCUUCCCAUCUUGAUGCAUUAGGCUCCUAGGGUGGAUCUCAAGUAUUAAGAGGAUCUAACUGCUGCUAGAUCCCUCUGCUAUCUCUUGGUUGAAGAGUUUUGCAUCUGUAUGAGGAAGAUGUGUCAGCCUGUGGUUUCCUGUUUAUGCCUUUACCUUUUGACACCAGACUAAGAUGCUUCCGGGACUUGGAGGCUCAUUCUGCUCUCCUGCAAGUCCCCAGUCUUCAGUGAGACCAAGCUCCCAUGGCCUGCUGCUUGAGAUCAGGAGCAUUUCAGGGGGUACUCCAUGUGGCAAGUAACUUCCAAACCCUCACAGUCUGGAGCAUCUCGGGGCCUCUCAGGGCCUCUCAGUGGGAGCCUCUCCAUGAGAGCCCCUCCCUCCCAGGACUCACAUUUGAAAAGGGACUAGAGUCAGAGACGAAUGGCUGGUGGGCACCACAAUGAUGCCUAACGUAAAAUGGAGCUUCUUUAGCCUAACUGAAGCCCAGGCAGGACUUUGGAGGCAGGAACCAGAGCCGAAGCCACAGAGGAGUGCUGCUUCCUGGCUUGCUCUCCAAGACUUUCUCGCUCUCUCAUCUCGCUCAGGACCAUCUGCUCAGGGGCAGCAUGACCUGUAGUCCUCUUCCCAAGAUACCUUUAGCUGUGUCAAGUCCACAAAGAUCCUACCAGGACAAGGGGUCAGAAAGAUUGAAGCCAGAGAUUUGUGCCUGAUACUAGAAGGAAGCAGUGUGUUGGAAGAAAGCGAGAAAUCUCAGAGAAUGAAAGGAAUGGCCAAAGAGACAGGUCAGAAGACUUGAGAGGCAUCUUGAAAAGGAGCCCUGUAUACUUGUCCAAGCUCGGUUGCUCUGAAUAAGAUGAGGUGAUCCUGCCUGGCCAGGCUCUGCUUCCAUGCCCUUCUCUGCCUUCGAGCGCUGUUAGAGAGAGUCGGACACUUUGCCUUACAGCCCAAAGACUGCAUCUAGUUGAAUAGUUGGAGUUCCCCAACAGCAAGCACUGCCACCCAAAGGCGAAUAUCAGAACCCACAGAAACAGACCUCUACUGCACAAGCUACAUUCUUUACUCUGGUCCCCUGCCCCUGCUGGCCAUUAGCUACAGGUGUACAUCAUGCACUUGGUUUCACACUGAGGUCUGGAGCUCCCAAGGGAUGAGAUCAUAAGGCCACUGGACAUUGGAAGGAAGAAAGAAGAAAUGAGAAAAAUAUGCCCACCAAAUACCAACACACAUAGACACACAUACAUCACACACACAAACACACCACACACACCAUGUUAAGACAAAGCCCCAAAAUAUGCAGAGCAGGAGUUUGUGAAAGAACACCUUGGAAAGUAACUUGAAAUCAUUAUGGUUGAGACAGGCCAAGCUAGAAAUCGCAGGUGCUUGGCGGACUGAGGCAGAAAAAAAAAAAAAAAAAAAAAAAAAAAAAAAAAAAAAAACAAAAAAUAAAAAACAUGAAUUUGAGACCAUUCUGGGCUACUUAGUUUUAGGCUUCCCUGAACCAAAAGCAAAACUGUCUCAAAAUGAAUAAAAAUGAAAGAUGAUUUGAGACUA